rnacentral:tRNA from 1 species
AUGUCUCCUGAGGAAGAGACAAGGAGCUGGGAGCUGAUACUGGAGGAGUUGUGGAAGUACGGAAUCCAGGCACUUCAGCAUGAAAAGAUGAAAACUGCCACAAAUGCAGCAAUGCUACAAUGCCACAAAACUGCUAGCAAUGCAGCUGACACAGAGAAAAUGGAUCCAAGAGAUGGAGGGGAAUUGGGAGUUCAAGACUUGAGCCUGGAUCAAGCUGUUCCUGAAGCUCAUGAGACCUAUCAGAUUCUCAUGGCACCCGAGGCUUUUCCCACUCAGCCUUCACUUCUUUGGGGUGGUAUCAGUUUAAACUGCACUGGAAAGGAUCAAACACAUCAUUUCAUUAUAAGGAGCUGGACGUGUGGCAAAAGGGAAAACAUCACAUUGCAUUGGCCGGGAAUCGAACCCGGGCCUCCCGCGUGGCAGGCGAGAAUUCUACCACUGAACCACCAAUGCUCUUCCUGUAAGUUGUUUCCCACACCUUACUAGAGUAGAUUUAUCAAUGUGCAGUGAGUUUUCUGUUACAGAGUGAAGUCCUUAAUUCAACUUCAGAAAAAGCAAUGGAGUUUUUUAAUUAAAUAACUAUAAACAUUGAAUUAACAUUUACCCAAAAAACUCAUUAUACCUAGUUCUGUUGAACCUUGAGAGGAGGUUCUGUCUUCUGAAGUUGUCCUCGGUGAAUGAGGCAAAUAAAAAUUUUAUUAAUAUGUAGACA